rnacentral:rRNA from 1 species
AUUGAACGCUGGCGGCAGGCCUAACACAUGCAAGUCGAACGCGAAAGUCCUUCGGGACGAGUAGAGUGGCGGACGGGUGAGUAACGCGUAGGAAUCUGUCCGGUAGUGGGGGAUAACGUUCCGAAAGGAACGCUAAUACCGCAUACGCCCCACGGGGGAAAGCGGGGGAUCCUUCGGGACCUCGCGCUAUCGGAGGAGCCUGCGUCGGAUUAGCUAGUUGGUAGGGUAAAGGCCUACCAAGGCGACGAUCCGUAGCUGGUCUGAGAGGAUGAUCAGCCACACCGGAACUGAGACACGGUCCGGACUCCUACGGGAGGCAGCAGUGGGGAAUAUUGCGCAAUGGGGGCAACCCUGACGCAGCCAUGCCGCGUGUGUGAAGAAGGCCUUCGGGUUGUAAAGCACUUUCAGAGGGGAGGAAAGGCUCAGGGCUAAUAUCCCUGGGAGUUGACGCUACCCUCAGAAGAAGCACCGGCUAAUUCCGUGCCAGCAGCCGCCGUAAUAC